rnacentral:tRNA from 1 species
GGGGCCAUAGCUCAGCUGGGAGAGCGCAACACUGGCAGUGUUGAAGUCGGCGGUUCGAUCCCGCCUGGCUCCA